rnacentral:sRNA from 1 species
AGGUGCACUGCAUGACUCAAAUAAAAGUUUCUUUCAAAGGAGAUGAUGACAGCUGUGAUUGUCAAAAUCCGUGCAGUGAGAAAGUAUAUGAUGCCUAUGUAUCGUCCAGAUAUUGGCCUAAUGAUGAUAUGGCUGACGUUUUGAUCCAAGAUGUCUGUACCACCA